UCCAGCCCAAAUAUUCUAUAUGUUUUAUGUUGAAAGUGGCCAGAUCCAGCAUCUUACACCUACCCAACAUUUGUCAUUCUAAAAAUAAACAGUCGUCCCACUUCAUUGAAAUCUC